UAAGGUGGAAGUGGUAUCAGAAACUUCACAGAGUGGUCAUAUUCGAAGUAUAUAAACUAGGGGUCAAUAACAGCGGCACGCGAUCUAAUCGCGCCUGAUUAGAUUUCAACUUUGAAACCGACUGGAGAUCAUUGCCAUGCUUUCUUCUUUCGAAUGUUGUCUUCUAAUAUCCAUAUUUGGUGCCAGCCUUGCGUUCGAAUUGCAAAGCAAAAAUGAUGAUGUUCAGUCACACAGAGGAAUAGGACUCGAAGAAGUUGUUCUUUUCCUUAUUGGUCUUGGUGUAGCCUCGGCAUUAGGUUUGGCAAUAGUAAUAGGUCCCCUAUUUGCAUUAUUUUAUUCUUCGCUAAAUGGAUUACCUUAUGGUGGAAUCAAUGGCGGCAACACGGUUUCGACAACUGCUGGAGGAUCUAGAGGAAUUGAUCUGAGGCAAAUGUUGUCAGACAAAAUUUUGAGUGGAAUCAAGAUUCUUGACGAAGCUUUAAAAAAAUAUGAUAAAAUCUGAAACUGUUAUAUGGUCAUUUUGAUCUGGUACUUAAAGGAAUGGAAACAAGAAUCUACCGAUCAAGCAAACUGUUCGUCUUACUCUUCAUGUUAUAAGUUUAUGUCUUUAUUUCUGAGUUGGACUUAUCAAAUGUUCAUUCUUAUAUUUUAAACAUACUUUUUUCAGAUUAAUGCACUAUUUCUUUCCAUUAAUAGAGUUUAUUACUAUAUAAUAUAAUGCUUAAUGAAUAACUGUGUCAUUAUGAUAUGCCAAAUGUAUUUGGAAACAAUUAUAAUUAUCAAGAAAUUAAUUAGCAUUAUAAGAUGACAGUUCAAGGUAAAAAUUUGAUUCACUUCAUUUAAAUGUAAAUAUAUAUUUUGUUUUCCUUCUUUCAUAAGAAAUAAAGGGAUU